AACGAACGCUGGCGGCAUGCCUAACACAUGCCAGUCGAACGAGACCUUCGGGUCUAGUGGCGCACGGGUGCGUAACGCGUGGGAACCUGCCCUUAGGUUCGGAAUAACUCCCCGAAAGGGGUGCUAAUACCGGAUAAUGUCUUCGGACCAAAGAUUUAUCGCCUUUGGAUGGGCCCGCGUUGGAUUAGCUAGUUGGUAGGGUAAAAGCCUACCAAGGCGACGAUCCAUAGCUGGGCUGAGAGGAUGGUCAGCCACACUGAGACUGAGACACGGCCCAGACUCCUACGGGAGGCAGCAGUGGCGAAUAGUGGACAGUGGGCGAAAGCCUGAUCCAGCAAUGCCGCGUGAGUGAUGAAGGCCGUAGGGUUGUAAAGCUCUUUUACCCGGGAUGAUAAUGACAGUACCGGGAGAAUAAGCUCCGGCUAACUCCGUG
rnacentral:rRNA from 1 species